rnacentral:tRNA from 1 species
GCGAAUAUAGAUUAAUUAGGUAAAUCUUUAGUUUUCCAAACUAAUAUUAGGAGUUCAAUUCUCCUUAUUCGCU